rnacentral:rRNA from 1 species
CAGAGGUCCCAAGCGUUGUUCGGAUUCACUGGGCGUAAAGGGUGCGCAGGUGGGUUGGCAAGUUCGAUGUGAAAGCCCCGGGCUUAACCCGGGAAUGGCAUUGGAUACUGUUGAUCUGGAGGGUCGGAGGGGGGACUGGAAUUCUUGGUGUAGCAGUGAAAUGCGUAGAUAUCAAGAGGAACACCAGUGGCGAAGGCGAGUCCCUGGACGAUACCUGACACUGAGGCACGAAAGCCAAGGGAGCAAACAGGAUUAGAUACCCUGGUAGUCUUGGCUGUAAACGGUGCGCAUUUGCUGUAAACGGAAUCGACCCCGUUUGUGGCGAAGCUAACGCGAUAAAUGCGCCGCCUGGGAAGUACGGUCGCAAGAUUA